GCGGAAGCAGUGGCGAGUGCCUGUAGUUUCCAGCUACUUGGAGGCAGAGGCGGGAGGAUGGCUUGAGCCCAGGAGUUCUGGGCUGUAGUGUGCUAUACCCUUCGGGUGUCCGCACUAAAUUCGGCAUCAGUAUGGUGACCUCCUGGGAGCAGGGAACCACCAGGUUGCUUAAGGAGGGGUGAACCCACCCAGGUUGGAAACGGAGCAGGUCAAAACUCCCGUGCUGAUCAGUAGCGGGAUCGUGCCUGUGAAUAGCCACUGCACUCCAGCCUGGGCAGCAUAGCGAGACCCCAAGGCCUCAU
rnacentral:SRP_RNA from 1 species